AUUGAACGCUGGCGGCAUGCUUUACACAUGCAAGUCGAACGGUAAAAGGUUAAGCUGACGAGUGGCGAACGGGUGAGUAAUGCAUCGGAACGUGCCCGGUCGUGGGGGAUAACGCAGCGAAAGCUGCGCUAAUCCCGCAUACGAUCUGAGGAUGAAAGCGGGGGACCGUAAGGCCUCGCGCGAUCGGCGCGGCCGAUGUCAGAUUAGGUAGUUGGUGGGGUAAAGGCUCACCAAGCCAACGAUCUGUAGCUGGUCUGAGAGGACGACCAGCCACACUGGGACUGAGACACGGCCCAGACUCCUACGGGAGGCAGCAGUGGGGAAUUUUGGACAAUGGGCGAAAGCCUGAUCCAGCAAUGCCGCGUGCAGGAAGAAGGCCUUCGGGUUGUAAACUGCUUUUGUACGGAGCGAAAAGGUCUCCUCUAAUACAGGGGGCUCAUGACGGUACCGUAAGAAUAAGCACCGGCUAACUACGUGCCAGCAGCCGCCGUAA
rnacentral:rRNA from 1 species